UUGGAGGCAGGGGAGGGGAUCCUUGGAUUACAGACCAUGGUGGCCUCCUGUUGUGAACUCCAAUUUCUGUUACGAAAUGGCAGGAGGAACAUCGAACUGAUGAAGCUCCACAAGGGUACAUCAGCAAUACUGCACAUCUACCACAAUUAACUUGCCCGACCUCAUGUGCUUCUAACACAAAGUUAACCAUCUGACAACAUGAACAUUGAACAUGUCUGGCUCCUCUUGGAUAUGAAAGCAGACUUCGACAAGAACCACAAACCAUUUGAGCCAUCUCUGAAGAUGGAGGCUGCUGCAGGGGCGCAGGCGGAGGUUGCGAUGAUCCUGGAGGAGGGAUGGACUGCCAUCCGGGCGGUGGCCCUUCUUCCACUUCUUUUUUCUCCUCUUCCAUGGUUUGUCCUUCCCUGCUCUCGAUCGUUAUCCCUCUCGCAUGCGCGCACAAGGGCAGGCACACAGCUAAAAUAAAGCAGAAAUUCGGGACAAAACGGUUCCUUCUACCAUUUGCGAUGCCGUUACCAUUUAUUUGCCAAUUAUCAGUACCUUUUCCAGAAUUUUUGUUUUAAAAGAAAUAUAUUCAUCCUUUCAAACCCUGUGUCAGCAGACGAUUAACGCUCCGUUUG
rnacentral:misc_RNA from 1 species